GCCGGAGCCAUGCUUUUGGAUCACCAUAACUGAGACACCUACUGGAACUUCCUGGAAACUACAACUGUGGUGAUCUCACAAGGCUCCUGUGACUGGCGUGUUUCCUGGGCCAAAAGCAAGUCAGACAAUGACUAAGAAAGCCUGUAUCCCACAGAACAGAGGGACAUUUCAGAAAAAGAGAACUUUUAACUUCAUGCCACCUGCGGACA